rnacentral:misc_RNA from 1 species
UUUCCGUAGGUGAACCUGCGGAAGGAUCAUUAAUGAAUAUCUAUGGCGUUGGUUGUAGCUGGCUUCUAGGAGCAUGUGCACACCCGUCAUUUUUAUCUUUCCACCUGUGCACUUGAUGUAGGCCUGGAUAACUCUCGUUCUUUUGAACGGAUGCAAGGAUUGCUGCGUCGCAAGACCAGCUCUCUUUGAAUUUCCAGGACUAUGUAUCUUUACAAACCCCAAUUGUAUAAUGAAGAAUGUAGUCAAUGGGCUUUUAGCCUAUAAAACAAAAUACAACUUUCAGCAACGGAUCUCUUGGCUCUC